AUGUUUAAAACUGGAGGAUGGAGAGGAACAGCAAACACAAAAGUUCUGAAGUGUGAUUUUGUCUUCAAGGAACAACGGGGAGAGGAGGGAGUAACAGCAGCAGCACCUGCUCAAACAAAGCAAGUGGUUUUCCAUCUGGCUUCCUUCACCAAAGAAACAGAAACAUCCAGAAUAGUUAGGCCCUCUGUCGCCACAUGAGGACAGAAGAGGGUAAGUAAUAAGAAUUCCCCCGCAGAGCAUUCAUGAAGCAGGAAUGUAACUGACCUGCUGAGCUGUUGAAACAGCACAGGAGGGCAGCACAAGGCCAGAACUCUCGGCCCCAAUCUGGCAAAUAGUCCAGACCGUAAGCAUACUUACAGCCUACGUUUCUAAAUGCAUACAGCAGAGUUUUAAACCCCACCAAAUUUAACCGAAAUGUAAAUCUGCAUAGACUCUACCUAUUGAACAUUUUCAGAUCAUUUUCAUAAAUUCAGUUCAGUUCAGUUCAGUCGCUCAGUCGU
rnacentral:lncRNA from 1 species